rnacentral:rRNA from 1 species
AUUGAACGCUGGCGGCAGGCCUAACACAUGCAAGUCGAACGAGUGGCGGACUGGUGAGUAAUGUCUGGGAAACUGCCUGAUGGAGGGGGAUAACUACUGGAAACGGUAGCUAAUACCGCGUACCAGCGGAUGCGCCCAGAUGGGAGUAGCUAGUAGGUGGGGUAAAGGCUCACCUAGGCGACGAUCCCUAGCUGGUCUGAGAGGAUGACCAGCCACACUGGAACUGAGACACGGUCGAGACUCCUACGGGAGGCAGCAGUGGGGAAUAUUGCACAAUGGGGGAAAGCCUGAUGCAGCCAUGCCGCGUGUAUGAAGAAGGCCUUAGGGUUGUAAAGUACUUUCAGCGGGGAGGCGUUACCCGAAGAAGAAGCCCCGGCUAACUCCGUGCCAGCCGCCGCGGUAAUAC